UGCAUCAGAUUAGUUACGAAGCAUC
rnacentral:piRNA from 1 species